rnacentral:rRNA from 1 species
GACGAACGCUGGCGGCGUGCCUAAUACAUGCAAGUCGAGCGGACGAAUCGAAAGCUUGCUUUUGAUUCGUUAGCGGCGGACGGGUGAGUAACACGUGGGCAACCUGCCCUGUAGACGGGGAUAACACCGAGAAAUCGGUGCUAAUACCGGAUAACACGAAAUGUCGCAUGACGUUUCGUUGAAAGACGGCGCACGCUGCCGCUACAGGAUGGGCCCGCGGCGCAUUAGCUAGUUGGUGAGGUAACGGCUCACCAAGGCGACGAUACGUAGCCGACCUGAGAGGGUGAUCGGCCACACUGGGACUGAGACACGGCCCAGACUCCUACGGGAGGCAGCAGUAGGGAAUCUUCCGCAAAGGACGAAAGUCUGACGGAGCAACGCCGCGUGAGCGAAGAAGGCCUUCGGGUCGUAAAGCUCUGUUGUUAGGGAAGAACAAGUAACGCAGUAACUGGCGUUACCGUGACGGUACCUAACGAGAAAGCCACGGCUAACUACGUG